CCCUACGGGGUGCAGCAGGCGCGAAACCUUCACAAUGCACGAAAGUGUGAUGAGGGGAUUCUACGUGCUCAUGUUAUUCAUGGGCUUUUAUCAAAUGUAAUGAGUUUGGUGAAUAAGGGGUGGGUAAGACUGGUGCCAGCCGCCGCGGUAACACCAGCGCCCCAAGUGGGGGUCACGUUUAUUGGGCCUAAAGCGUUCGUAGCCGGUCAUGUAAAUCCUUUGUGAAAUCGUUGUGCUUAACGCAACGGCGUGCAGGGGACACUGCUUGACUUGGGACCGGGAGGAGUCAGAGGUAUGUCGUGGGGACUGGUAAAAUGGGAUAAUCCACGAUGGACCGCCGAUGGCGAAGGCAUCUGACCAGAACGGAUCCGACGGUGAGGAACGAAAGCCAGGGGAGCGAACCGGAUUAGAUACCCGAGUAGUCCUGGCCGUAAACGCUGUGUGCUAGGUGUUGCCCCUUCUACGAGGAGGGGCAGUGUCGAAAUGAAGAUGUUAAGCACACCGCCUGGGAAGUACGGUCGCAAGACUGAAACUUUAAGGAAUUGGCGGGGGAGCAC
rnacentral:rRNA from 1 species